GACGUAGGGGGCCAGCGUUGUUCGGAAUUACUGGGCGUAAAGGGCGCGUAGGCGGCUUGGUCAGUCCCGUGUGAAAUCCCUCGGCUCAACUGAGGAACUGCACGGGAAACUGCCUGGCUUGAGUUCGGGAGAGGGAAGCGGAAUUCCGGGUGUAGCGGUGAAAUGACGCAGAUAUCAGGAGGAACACCAAUGGCGAAGGCAGCUCGCUGGGACGGUACUGACGCUGAGAAGCGAAAGCGUGGGGAGCAAACAGG
rnacentral:rRNA from 1 species